UGGGGAAUAUUGGACAAUGGGGGCAACCCUGAUCCAGCAAUGCCGCGUGUGUGAAGAAGGCCUGAGGGUUGUAAAGCACUUUCGUUGGGGAGGAAAGACUCGGUGCUAAUAUCAUCGAGGGAUGACGCUACCCAAAUAAGAAGCACCGGCUAACUCUGUGCCAGCAGCCGCGGUAAUACAGAGGGUGCGAGCGUUAAUCGGAAUUACUGGGCGUAAAGCGCGCGUAGGUUGGUAGAUGUGUUGGCUGUGAAAUCCCCGAGCUUAACUUGGGACGGUCAGCCAAAACUGUCUAUCUAGAGUAUGGUAGAGGAAAGUGGAAUUUCAGGUGUAGCGGUGAAAUGCGUAGAUAUCUGAAGGAACAUCAGUGGCGAAGGCGACUUUCUGGACUAAUACUGACACUGAGGCGCGAAAGCGUGGGGAGCAAACAG
rnacentral:rRNA from 1 species